rnacentral:rRNA from 1 species
UACGGGGGGGGGCAAGCGUUGUUCGGAAUUACUGGGCGUAAAGGGUUCGUAGGUGGCUUGCUAAGUCAGACGUGAAAUCCCUCAGCUUAACUGGGGAACUGCGUCUGAUACUGGAAGGCUUGAGGAUGGGAGAGGGAUGUAGAAUUCCAGGUGUAGCGGUGAAAUGCGUAGAUAUCUGGAGGAACACCGGUGGCGAAGGCGGCAUCCUGGACCAACACUGACGCUGAGGAGCGAAAGCCAGGGGAGCAAACGGG